AAAGGAAUAGACGGGGGCCCGCACAAGCGGUGGAGCAUGUGGUUUAAUUCGAAGCAACGCGAAGAACCUUACCAGGUCUUGACAUCUUCUGACAAUUCCAGAGAUGGAACGUUCCCUUCGGGGACAGAAUGACAGGUGGUGCAUGGUUGUCGUCAGCUCGUGUCGUGAGAUGUUGGGUUAAGUCCCGCAACGAGCGCAACCCUUAUUGUCAGUUGCCAUCAUUAAGUUGGGCACUCUGGCGAGACUGCCGGUGACAAACCGGAGGAAGGUGGGGAUGACGUCAAAUCAUCAUGCCCCUUAUGACCUGGGCUACACACGUGCUACAAUGGACGGUACAACGAGUCGCUAACUCGCGAGGGCAAGCUAAUCUCUUAAAGCCGUUCUCAGUUCGGAUUGCAGGCUGCAACUCGCCUGCAUGAAGUCGGAAUCGCUAGUAAUCGCGAAUCAGCAUGUCGCGGUGAAUACGUUCCCGGGCCUUGUACACACCGCCCGU
rnacentral:rRNA from 1 species